rnacentral:rRNA from 1 species
GGUAACAGGUCCAGCUUGCUGGAUGCUGACGAGCGGCGGACGGGUGAGUAAUGCAUAGGAAUUUACCCGGUAGUGGGGGAUAACCUGGGGAAACCCAGGCUAAUACCGCAUACGUCCUACGGGAGAAAGGGGGCUUCGGCUCCCGCUAUUGGAUGAGCCUAUGUCGGAUUAGCUGGUUGGUGAGGUAAUGGCUCACCAAGGCGACGAUCCGUAGCUGGUCUGAGAGGAUGAUCAGCCACAUCGGGACUGAGACACGGCCCGAACUCCUACGGGAGGCAGCAGUGGGGAAUAUUGGACAAUGGGGGCAACCCUGAUCCAGCCAUGCCGCGUGUGUGAAGAAGGCCCUCGGGUUGUAAAGCACUUUCAGCGAGGAAGAACGCCUGUCGGUUAAUACCCGGCAGGAGAGACAUCACUCGCAGAAGAAGCACCGGCUAACUCCGUGCCAGCAGCCGCGGUAAUACGGAGGGUGCAAGCGUUAAUCGGAAUUACUGGGCGUAAAGCGCGCGUAGGUGGCUUGAUAAGCCGGUUGUGAAAGCCCCGGGCUCAACCUGGGAACGGCAUCCGGAACUAUGAGGCUAGAGUGCAGGAGAGGAAGGUAGAAUUCCCGGUGUAGCGGUGAAAUGCGUAGAGAUCGGGAGGAAUACCAGUGGCGAAGGCGGCCUUCUGGACUGACACUGACACUGAGGUGCGAAAGCGUGGGUAGCAAACAGGAUUAGAUACCCUGGUAGUCCACGCCGUAAACGAUGUCGACCAGCCGUUGGGUGCCUAGCGCACUUUGUGGCGAAGUUAACGCGAUAAGU